GACGAACGCUGGCGGCGUGCCUAACACAUGCAAGUCGAACGAAGAUUGUUUGAAAUGAGACUUCGGUCAAUUUUCAUUUAAUCUUAGUGGCGGACGGGUGAGUAACGCGUGAGUAACCUGCCGUUCAGAGGGGGACAACAGUUGGAAACGACUGCUAAUACCGCAUAACGUACAGUUUUGGCAUCAUUACUGUACCAAAGGAGCAAUCCGCUGAAUGAUGGACUCGCGUGCGAUUAGAUAGUUGGUGAGGUAACGGCUCACCAAGUCGACGAUUGGGUGCCGGACUGAGAGGGUGAACGGCGACAGUGAGACUGAGACACGGCCCAGACUCCUACGAGAGGCAGAAGUGGGGGAUAUUGCACAAUGGGCGAAAGCCUGAUGCAGCCGCGCCGCGUGGGGGAAGAAGGUCUUCGGAUUGUAAACCUUUGUUUUUAGUGACGCACAAAUGACGGUAGCUAAAGAGGAUGCCACGGCAAACUACGUGCCAGCCGCCGCCGUAAGAC
rnacentral:rRNA from 1 species